GGCCAGAUAGCUCAGUUGGUAGAGCGUCUGGGUGCAAACCAGAAGGUCCUGGGUUCAAUCCCUAGUCUGGUCA
rnacentral:tRNA from 1 species